rnacentral:rRNA from 1 species
GCCUACGGGAGGCAGCAGUCAGGAAUAUUGCGCAAUGGAGGAAACUCUGACGCAGCGACGCCGCGUGGGUGAUGAAGGCCUUCGGGUCGUAAAGCUCUGUCAGUGGGGAAGAAAUGGGACUGGCUAAUAUCCAGUCUUCUUGACGGUACCCACAAAGGAAGCACCGGCUAACUCCGUGCCAGCAGCCGCGGU